GGUGGAUCAUCCUCAGACACCUAUUAUGAUAAUCAGGAGUCACAAGAUUCCUCAUAUGGCAAUAAUCCAAAUGCUUGUGAUGAUAAUGACACUACCUACAGUUCCAAUAGUCAACGUUCUGGUUGUACAAAGAAGAAAGUUGUUG